UAUUAUCUCCUCUUGUUAUGUUGUUUAUGUUAGUUAUGAUGUUUUGUUGAAGGAAAGAAAUGCUUGUAAAGAAAAUGUUUAUGUAAAUUGUUGUUGAAGAAAAUAAUGUGUAGUUGCUCGCUCGAGUUGGUUAAUUUACCCAACCUUAGAAGUAAGUUUAUUUACAUCCUAGAUAAGACAAAACUGUAAUAAAGUUAUUAUAUUAUAGAAUAUGUUGCGAGUUCAUGACAUCAAAAAAAAAAAUUUUGUUGUUCUGUUUUUGUGCCCUAAAGCUUGGGCACGACAUAUCCUUGGCAACAUAUAUUUCCUUUUUAUACGGCUUGGCUUCCACAUCUCUUACCUCAGGAAACCCAGGCCUGAAAGCUCUUGGAAUUAAACCAUAAUAAUAUCCUCUAUCUCACAACUCUUUAGCCCAGAGGGAAAGAAUUGUAAUCCUUUAUGAAAAUUAUUGAAACCAUUAGUUGCUGAAACAUAUGAACACAAGGUAGUGAAAACAAGUAGUGGAAUUAUAGGUACAUAACUUGUUUCCAUUGUAACUAAAUCUGAAUCUAUAAUUAUAUUAUUAGACUGUGAUCAUUAAUCUGAAUCUAUGACUAUAAUAUCAGACUCUGAUUAUUUAUAUAGACUUAAACUAAAGUCAUAAGACUUCCUAACACAAUGCAUGCGUAAGCUAUUAACUACCACAUGAGGGCAGUUAGUGUGAAAUCAAAUUCUAGCACAUUCCACUCAUAGAUCUAUAGCUGGUUUGUCUUCUUUGUUGUUGGUGGAUUCAUAGUCAUUUCCUGCUUGUGUGUCACUGUUCAUUUUCAAUCCCAUGGGAAUUUUUUUAUCACUGUCACUGCUUCCUUGCUUCUUUGCACUUAAAAGAAUUAUGUCUUACUAGAGAUCUCAAACCAGUAUACUUGUAGUGUUUCUUUUCAGGAUUUCUAUAUCAAGGGUCUUUGUCGCUCACUAAAAUUGAACAAACACUAUAUAACAGCUCUUAUAGGACCAUAUCACUGUUACUUAAAAUUGUACUCAUUUUUAAUACAUUCCUGAUGACUGUGGUUAUUCAUAUCUUUUUCGUGUUUUCUUGCACCUCUUCAAGACUGUCACACAGUCAUGAUGCCUUCAGAACACAAUGAUGUUGCCCUUUCUAAUCUCUUAGGGUCUUGUUGCUCUGUCAUGCUACACGUUAGUAAUCCUUUAGAAAGUAAGGUUCAUCUUUCCUUUUCGUCCACCAUCUUUGACCAAUGCUCCUACUCACUUUGUACUGCUCAUACUAACUUCAAUAUCUCUGUCCAAGUUGGGUGUAUACCUCCAUGAUGGCUAAGAGAUCUAGGUAUUCAUGUAUCAUGUUUUGACAAUAGAUUGUGAUGUGCCUUCUUUAAAAUGUCACUGAUCAUUUUGGUCUAUCCUAGAGAUUAUCAUGUAUGCUUUAUCAAUCUUUGACGAGGCCUUUUUCUUUACACAAGCUGCACAAAUGAUUAUUUCAUCAUUGUUUGAACAGUAAAACUUGAAAAGAAUGAUCAUGACUACUGUAUCUUUUUUUGGGCAUCAUGACUACUACAAAAUGAUUUAUUUGACCCUUAAUGAUGCAACCGUGUGACUCGUGUGACUACACAGCCCUAAAAGUAUGGUUUUAAACUACAGACUUCACUGAAAAAUCAACUUCAAUAUUAUGUUAUGUGUGCCUUCAUUUCUUUUCAUUCCCAAAUGAAUUAUCUUCGAAUCCAUGUUGCUCAUAGCUUCUUAUUAUGGGACUACCCAUGUUUUAAAUUAUUGACUGUCAUUGCUUUUGAGAAUUCUCUUGACUCAUAAUGCUUCUUGUUGACACCAUAAAACUCUGUCUUCAUUCUCUGUUCUCUGUAGAUUAUCAUGAUGAUUGUCCUUUGACCUAUGGACUGCAAAAAACCCUUGGAUGUCAUUUACUGUUAUUGUACAUACAGCUUUAUGACUGGAACCAUUGAUUGCAUGAUAUUCUGGUUAUCAAGAGAUGCUCAAAUCUUGUCUUUGCUCACAUCAAUAAUCUUUGGUGCACUAUGGAUGAUCUUUUGAUAACUGAUUACUCUCUUUGUAUUGACAAUUUUAUCCCAUAGGUCUCUUCUAAAACCUUUGUUAGGUUUGUCUUCACUCUUCGUGGUCUUUGACUUGCUAGUGAAGAAUGCCUUUAUUCACUGUCAAACUUGAUUGCCAUACUAAAAUAGGUUAGAACAAUGAGUUUUCUUUAUACCUCAAAACCCUUUUCAACUUACGGAUGCCAUGAAACCUUUUGGCAUUGGAUUGUAAUAUUCUGAUUUUAUUGUGUGGAUCUGCCUUACAUGCUUUAUCUUCAACAUUAUCCAUGAACAUACCGUCAAGAUCUGUGAUUAAGAUUGUGCUUUUAAGAAUGCUCUAACCUCAAAAAUCUUAAUGUCUUGAUGGCUGCUACCAUUUGACAGUGAUCUAUACUUCUAACUGACACCUUAGGACUGAUAUUUCUGUGUGUGCACUGUUGUAGCUUUUUAUACUUUUGAUAGUGACUAUCAUCAACUCACUGUGUACUUCUUAUGAGCUCAUGAGAGGCCUUUUGCCCUUGUUUAUUGCUCAAACUUAAGGAGCCUGCUGAUCAUUGAUCAUGGAUGCAUGAACCCUUUUGAUUGUAGUGCUUCACUUUGGUGUGACAUUUAUACCAUGAAUUCCAUCAAAAUGUUUUGUAACCUUAAAUCUCUGCCACUGUAUUUUAUUUUUUCAUUAUGAUGUGUAUCCUGCUACCAUGCUCUAUAUUUUGUAUUCUUGAUGGUGAUAUGGGUUAUGACAACUAUCUUUUGUAUCUCAUGGUCUUUAUGCCCAAUGGUUUGUCAUUUAGGCUCAGAUUGAGACUGUCUUUAUCCUCUUUAUCUUUGAUUAGACACUAUAUCAUUGUCGUGUAAUCUCAUUAGGGCUUUUUUACUAUUAUGUAUCACCAAACACUAAUAGUUGCUACUAUUAAAUCUGUAAGGGAUUCUCUUUUGAUGCAAUAUACUGUGAUCUAUGUCUCUUCACUUGAACUUCUUUCAACUGUAUUCACUGGACUGAGAUAUGUGAGCAAUGUCCUAAGGAAGACUGUGACUUUUAUUUUUUCCACUGCUCUGUGAUAAUACUACAACAGUGAGGUUUCUCUAGGAGAUCCUUGAAACUCAUGUAGCUUCUUCAAAAUUCCUAAAGACUGCUAUAUGCCUUCUUGUCUAUUCCAACUGAAUGAUACCAUAACAUCUUUACUUUUAUGAUUUCAUUCCCUUUGGUAUUGAAGAUUGAUUCGCCCCAUUUAUUAGGCAUGUAUUGACUAUAUUAGGGGAUUCUCUUCUUCUUGGACUGCUACUAUUUUAAGCCUUUCUCUUCUUUGGGAGUGAAUGCAAAAGACUGUAUCUCUACUCCUCUUCUCAUUGACUUAUCAUGACUGCAAUUAUGAUGCAUUCACUGCCUUUCUUUUCUAUUUAUUAUUUCUUUCUUCUGACUGUGAUUCACUAACUCAGACCUUCGGUGAUAUCCACUUACCAUGCACUAUAACUCUAUUGUUGAACCUUUUACUAUUAAAUCUAAUCUUUACUUAGAUUGCUUAUUGCUUAAAACUCUGUCAAAACUGUGUCUUUAACAGUCUUUAGAUCUACUCUUGGUCUUUGAUGCCCUUGUUCUGCAAUAUGAAGAUCUUGCCAUAUACUUUUCAUUGGUUGUCUCAUGAGCUUGAUAUCUGCUCUUUGGAUAGUAAAUGGUUGUUCCUAUCAGUCUACACUGUUAUUCUUUUCAUACUAUUAUGUAUCUUUAACCAUAUGAUCUUUUUAUGUUCUAAGAUAUUCUCAAGUCAAAAGAAUUGUACAUCUACUGUCAAAAUUAUAACACUUGACAUCCACUAUCAAAAUUAUAACACCAUGAAUAAAACAUGUCUAUUUUUAAUAGCUUAAACAUUCUUCCUUAAAGGUUAGCUUAGUUAUAAAGAGAGUACAUGUUUAAGGGGAAGAGUCUUCUCCCUCUACAAUUGGAAAUUUAACCUACCAAUCAAGAUAAUGUUGCAGCCCUUGGAAAUCUGUUGUAUUUGGCAAAUAUGGCUAUUUCAAUAUGCGGAAAGAACCAUACAAUAUUCUAAAUGAACAAUAGUCUAUAAAAAAGUGCAUAAUUCAGAAGAGGGGGCUUCUUUUGAGAAAUUAACAAAUAUUCAACUCUCAUUUUAGUGUUACUGGCAUUGAAAAAGCAGCCAAACAUAGCACAGAUAAAACCGUUUAGGCGUGAACCUACCAUCUUGACAGAAAACCUCAAGAGAAGUACAUAUUAGUUAGUAUAUAAUUUGUAAGAUAUCAUAGUUAAACUUUGACUUUACGCCAUGAGGUUUCUGAAGAGUCAAAUGAUCUCAGACCAUCAAAAAAGACAAGUGAGGGGAGUAUAAACUAAAUUAUCAAUCAUUUGUGAUGUAUGCUCUGUAGGGUAUCUCUAUGAUUAUCCCAGGUCUAAGAACAAGUGUUGGUCCUUGAAAAUACUGUCCUAUACAAAUGCUCCCAAUGAAUGCCUUUUGGUGGUAAUGUUGUUGUAGCUGCCUCAUAAGGCCUUUUGGGUAGCACAGGUACACAUGCAUUUAUUUUACAACAAACCAUAUGUUGGUUGCACUAUAACCUGCAUUUGAUGUCCUUUUGAUCUUCUACAACAGGCUUUGAUACAUAUUGAUGUGACUAUCUCUUAAAUGCUUUAUGGACUGUGCUUGUGUUGGUUGGUUUGUCAAAGCCUUUGUCCUUUGAAGAUGACUAUUAUUUGCCUUGCCUUGGGUGUAUGCUGAUAACCUGUAGCUUUGUUGUGCAAAAAUGAUUUAUUCUUCAUCUUGGCUGUUGAUAGUCCUUAUUGCUUGUGUAUCUUAUUAUUAAAAGCAAUGAUCAUUUAUAUUUGAGAAAUUCAGAUUUCUGUUUUUUGUUGUCCUUACAAAUGGUCCCUUCCUCUUGAAUCUUGAUUGUGAUCACUAUAUAAACAAUAUUUUUUUUUGCUUUACUAUGAGUUAUUAUUUACAAAAACAAAUUGGUUUUUUUUGUUUCAGGUUUGUUGGUAAUACUAUCUUAGUCUCUUUUGUAUCACUGUCUUAUUUUGUUUCCAUGAAUGCAUUUCCAUUCUUCAUUUUCACCUUCAUGAUGAAUAUUGACUACUUUGUUAUCAAAUGACUUAACUUUGAGACUAUAAUUUUGUCAAAAAUGUGGAUGCCCCUGUCCACCAUGCAUGGAGUUAAUAGUAUUGAAGGAUUUGGCUUGUGGUGAUAAGGCAACUAUGCGUUUUUUGUGAAGAUCUUGCUACCUUCUCCUGUAAAGAACCUUGUGGUCUCUAGGUUGGGAUAGUCACCUCUUUGUCAUUUACUGUACUUGAUGAUUUAGAUGCUUGCUACACCUAAAUGUAAGACAAAACCCUUGUUGUAUCUUUAUGGCAAUGAAUGUAAAUCUCUAUGUCAAUUCUUUAUUGUAUUUUUUGAGUUAUAUGACUGAUUUGGCCUGAACUUUUGACCUUUUUGAAUCUCAAUCUUUGCUAUGGACUGAGUUUACACUACCAUUUUCCAUGCUACUAUCCAUGCUCUAUAUUCAUAAUUGUCAUAGUCCAUAUGAUAUCUCUGUAAUUAUGUUUCCUUAGGCAUACCACGUGGGCUUUAGUCAUGGUAAAGACACCGGAUGGAUUUAUAUUGUCAAGUGCAUUGUAUUAACUGUACAGUACCCAUGAAGGAAAACUCUACUAGCCUUUUUCAAACCAUCAACAAUGCCGGUGAUGCUGACUAUUUGAUCCAUCUCAUCGAAGAUCUUCUAAACAGGUAAAAACAAGAAAAGACGUUUGAGGGAAGCACUAGUUCAGAAUCAGAGUGGACAUCCUUUAUCCAAAGUGGGUCUGAAUUCCUUGAAUUUGUGAAUAAGCAUAUUCAGCUGGAGAUGGUGGUUGUAUUUACAGGGAGAUGAAGGUAACAGAGAAGCUAUAGCACAAAUGUUGCAAAGUGUGGAGAAGGCACGCCAGAUGGUUGGAGGAUUAUCUCUUGUAGCCUUCUUGCUAGACCAGAUUGAAGACAUCCCUGAAAACCGGACUGAAUACAUUGAACUCUUAAGACAAAUGUUUAAGCUUGCUGGGUAUAUUAGAAGGAUGAGGUAUGAUAUGCCACAAGAAGAAAAUAUAUUGAAUGAGGCAAUUAUAUUGAUUGUUGAAGGAUCCAUGAUAUGCGCUUUGCAAAUAAAGUCUAGAACACUUUUCUGGUUUUUGAAGGGUUUUGUGAACCACGAAGGCUUGGGCACUGUAAAAUUGAAAAUAAAUCAGCUUCAUCAAGAUCUUACAUUGCGAGGGCUAAUAGAAAUACAAUAGAUCAGCAUCCUGUUGCUUUCUCUCCAUGGAAGCCUACUUAUCUAGAUCAUGCAGAGUGCUGGGUUGUUUUUUGUCGGGUACGGCAACAAUUCAGAGAAAUCUUUCUAGAAAUGGGAUUUGAAGAGAUGCCGACAAAUAACUUUGUUGAGAGUAGCAGUUGGCAUCCAAAAGCAGAACAAACAAUUAAUGAAUUUGCUAGACAUGGAAACAAAAACCAAGUCUCCAUUGACUGUAGUUAUUUAUGGAUUUGGCGGCAUAGGAAAGACCACCCUCGCCACCGCUGUUAUUGCUAACUUAGAUCUCACAAAUUACAACUAUUCAGGAGUUCAAAUGCAAGAAGACAGCUCUAGGAACGUCAUAAAAUGCAUGUAGCAGCAAAUAUUGAAAGAUGCCUUCCCAGCAUAUUAUGACAGAAAUUUAACAUUGAGAAAUAGUGCUCACAAAAUGCAUGCAGCAGCAAAUAUUGUUGGAGCUGAGGAGGUCACACAUCUGGAAGAGGUGGCUUUGUUCAAGACGUCCGACAAAGGCAACGUUAUUGUUCUUGAUAUCUUCCAAGCAAAAGGGCUGAGUAUGCCUGAAUCGAAUAGAAUAACUAAUAUGCAAUCCUGGCUCGAUGUUUUAUGCGAUAAUAAGAGGCUCGAUCAAAUUUAAAGGAAACUGGCUUACCAGGGAGGAGACUGAACCUGUGUACGAACUUGAUGAGAAGCCUCGCCUUGGGGAACAAGAUAAAUGUAUCACGGUCAAGCCAAAAGACACCCAAAUUUAAAGAACUAAGAGUUCUCAAACAAGGUGGCAACAUGUCUGGUUUCUGGCUAGUAAAUUUGGAGUGCCUUGAGUGGUUGGCUGUGUACUAUGGCCCUGUCUUUAAGGAUGUUCAUGUCUUAUUGAUCUGUUAAAAAAAUUCAUUGCCUUGCCCAAGUGAAAUGGGGCCAUGUAAGGUGUAUGUACUAUAUACUGAGCCAAAGCCUCCUCCAAGAUUGUAAGCUGCUAAAAAUGGAUUGUAAGAUGCUAAAAAUGGCUCUAUCUAGUCAUGUGAAGUUUGAUUC